rnacentral:rRNA from 1 species
CCCUUAGAUGUUCUGGGCCGCACGCGCGCUACACUGACGGAGGCAGCGAGCAUGUCCUUCGCCGAGAGGUGUGGGGAAUCUUGUGAGUCUCCGUCGUGCUGGGGAUAGAUGGUUGCAAUUGUCGAUCUUGAACGAGGAAUUCCUAGUAAGCGCGAGUCAUCAGCUCGCGCUGAUUACGUCCCUGCCCUUUGUACACACCGCCCGUCGCUACUACCGAUUGGGUGAUCCGGUGAAUAAUUCGGACUGCGGCAUUGACCGGUUCCCGAUCGUUGCUGCGGAAAGUUUAGUGAACCUUAUCACUUAGAGGAAGGAGAAGUCGUAACA